CUUAAAGGAAUUGACGGACCCGCACAAGCAGCGGAGCGUGUGGUUUAAUUCGAGGCUACACGAAGAACUUACCAGGGUUGACAUGCAAGUGGUAGGAAUCCGAAAGGUGACCGACCUUCGGGAGCUUGCACAGGUGCUGCAUGGCUGUCGUCAGCUCGUGUCGUGAGAUGUUCGGUUAAGUCCGCUAACGAGCGCAACCCUCGUCGUGUGUUAUACGUGUCACACGAUACUGCCGGUAUCAAGCCGGAGGAAGGUGGGAUGACGUCAAGUCAGCAUGGCCUUUAUAUCCUGGGCUACACACACGCUACAAUGGUCGGUACAAUAGGUUGCCAAGCCGCGAGGCGGAGCCAAUCCACAAAGCCGGCCUCAGUUCAGAUUGUAGGCUGCAACUCGCCUGCAUGAAGAUGGAGUUGCUAGUAACCGCAGGUCAGCAAUACUGCGGUGAAUACGUUCCCGGGUCUU
rnacentral:rRNA from 1 species